rnacentral:rRNA from 1 species
GUGCCCAGGCGCGAAAACUUUACACUGCUGGCAACAGCGAUAAGGGGACCUUGAGUGCCAGGAUACAAUCCUGGCUGUCGUGAUGCCUAAAAAGCAUUAUAUAGCAAGGGCCGGGCAAGACCGGUGCCAGCCGCCGCGGUAACACCGGCGGCUCGAGUGGUAACCGCUAUUAUUGGGUCUAAAGGGUCUGUAGCCGGCUUGGUUAGUCUCUUGGGAAAUCCGGCAGCUUAACUGUCGGGCUUUCAGGAGAUACUGCCAGGCUCGAGACCGGGAGAGGUGAGAGGUACUUCAUGGGUAGGGGUGAAAUCUUGUAAUCCUUGAAGGACCACCAGUGGCGAAGGCGUCUCACCAGAACGGAUCUGACGGCAAGGGACGAAAGCUAGGGGCACGAACCGGAUUAGAUACCCGGGUAGUCCUAGCCGUAAACGAUACUCGCUAGGUGUCGGCCACGGUGCGACCGUGGUCGGUGCCGUAGGGAAGCCGUGAAGCGAGCCACCUGGGAAGUACGGCCGCAAGGCUGAAACUUAAAGGAAUUGGCGGGGGAGCAC